UACGUAGGGGGGCAAGCGUUGUCCGGAUUUAUUGGGCGUAAAGCGCUCGCAGGCGGUCCGAUGCGUCGUGCGUGAAAGCCCCCCGGCUCAACUGGGGAGGGUCGUGCGAUACGGUCGGACUUGAGGCCAGUAGGGGGAUGCGGGAAUUCCGGGUGGAGUGGUGAAAUGCGUAGAGAUCCGGGAGGAACACCAGAGGCGAAGGCGGCCUACUGGGC
rnacentral:rRNA from 1 species